rnacentral:rRNA from 1 species
GAAUAACUUUACGCUGAYCGCACGGUCUUGAACCGGCGACGCAUCUUUCAAAUGUCUGCCUUAUCAACUGUCGAUGGKAGGUUCUGCGCCUACCAUGGUUGUAACGGGUAACGGGGAAUCAGGGUUCGAUUCCGGAGAGGGAGCCUGAGAAACGGCUACCACAUCCAAGGAAGGCAGCAGGCGCGCAAAUUACCCACUCCCGGCACGGGGAGGUAGUGACGAAAAAUAACGAUACGGGACUCAUCCGAGGCCCCGUAAUCGGAAUGAGUACACUCUAAACCCUUUAACGAGGAUCAAUUGGAGGGUAAGUCUGGUGCCAGCAGCCGCGGUAAUUCCAGCUCCAAUAKCGUAUAUUAAAGUUGUUGCGGUUAAAAAGCUCGUAGUCGAAUCUGUGUCCCGCGCCGCUGGUUCAUCGUCCGCGGUGUUAACUGGCGUGUGGCGGGACGUCCUGCCGGUGGACUUAGCUCGCAAGGGCGGUCCAACUCAAUCCCGCCGCGGUGCUCUUCAUUGAGUGUCGAGGUGGGCCGGCACGUUUACUUUGAACAAAUUAGAGUGCUUAAAGCAGGCUAAAACUUCGCCUGAAUACUGUGUGCAUGGAAUAAUGGAAUAGGACCUCGGUUCUAUUUUGUUGGUUUUCGGAACCCCGAGGUAAUGAUUAAUAGGAACGGAUGGGGGCAUUCGUAUUGCGACGUUAGAGGUGAAAUUCUUGGAUCGUCGCAAGACGGACAGAAGCGAAAGCAUUUGCCAAAAACGCUUUCAUUGAUCAAGAACGAAAGUUAGAGGUUCGAAGGCGAUCAGAUACCGCCCUAGUUCUAACCAUAAACGAUGCCAGCUAGCGAUCCGCCGACGUUCCUCCGAUGACUCGGCGGGCAGCUUCCGGGAAACCAAAGCUUUUGGGUUCCGGGGGAAGUAUGGUUGCAAAGCUGAAACUUAAAGGAAUUGACGGAAGGGCACCACCAGGAGUGGAGCCUGCGGCUUAAUUUGACUCAACACGGGAAACCUCACCAGGCCCGGACACCGGAAGGAUUGACAGAUUGAGAGCUCUUUCUUGAUUCGGUGGGUGGUGGUGCAUGGCCGUUCUUAGUUGGUGGAGCGAUUUGUCUGGUUAAUUCCGAUAACGAACGAGACUCUAGCCUGCUAACUAGGCGUAUUUCGACAUCCCAAAGGCCCGCCUGCAUUGAGCCGUUCGCGCGGUUCUUUGUAGUGCGCGGUUUUUACUGUCGGCGUUUAAACAUAUCUUCUUAGAGGGACAGGCGGCUUCUAGCCGCACGAGAUUGAGCAAUAACAGGUCUGUGAUGCCCUUAGAUGUUCUGGGCCGCACGCGCGCUACACUGAAGGAAUCAGCGUGUCCUCCCUGGCCGAGCGGCCCGGGUAACCCGCUGAACCUCCUUCGUGCUAGGGAUUGGGGCUUGCAAUUUUUCCCCAUGAACGAGGAAUUCCCAGUAAGCGCGAGUCAUAAGCUCGCGUUGAUUACGUCCCUGCCCUUUGUACACACCGCCCGUCGCUACUACCGAUUGAAUGAUUUAGUGAGGUCUUCGGACCGGUACGCGAUGGCGUUUCGACGUCGUCGAUGUUGCUGGGAAGAUGACCAAACUUGAUCAUUUAGAGGAAGUAAAAGUCGUAACAAGGUUUCC